rnacentral:rRNA from 1 species
GACGAACGCUGGCGGCGUGCCUAAUACAUGCAAGUAGAACGCACAGUUUAUACCGUAGCUUGCUACACCAUAGACUGUGAGUUGCGAACGGGUGAGUAACGCGUAGGUAACCUGCCUGGUAGCGGGGGAUAACUAUUGGAAACGAUAGCUAAUACCGCAUAAUAUUAAUUAUUGCAUGAUAAUUAAUUGAAAGGUGCAAUUGCACCACUACCAGAUGGCCCUGAGUUGUAUUAGCUAGUAGGUGAGGUAACGGCUCACCUAGGCGACGAUACAUAGCCGAACUGAGAGGGUGGUCGGCCGCCCUGGGACGGAGACACGGCCCAGACUCCUACGGGAGGCAGCAGUAGGGAAUCUUCGGCAAUGGACGAAAGUCUGACCGCGCAACGCCGCGUGAGUGAAGAAGGUUUUCGGAUCGUAAAGCUCUGUUGUAAGAGAAGAACGGGUGUGAGAGUGGAAAGUUCACACUGUGACGGUAUCUUACCAGAAAGGGACGGCUAACUACGUG